rnacentral:rRNA from 1 species
GAUCCUGGCUCAGAUUGAACGCUGGCGGCAGGCUUAACACAUGCAAGUCGAACGGUAACAUAAAGAAGCUUGCUUCUUUGAUGACGAGUGGCGGACGGGUGAGUAAUGCUUGGGAAUCUAGCUUAUGGAGGGGGGAUAACUACGGGAAACUGUAGCUAAUACCGCGUAAUAUCGAAAGAUUAAAGUGUGGGACCUCGGUCGGCCACUGCNCAGAGU